GCAUAUGACUACUGGCAGGAUCAACCAGGUAGCAUUCCUCAUUCGACAUCAAUAACGUGUGAGCCAAGCAACAAAUGUUCGUUCAACACGUUAAUGACCGUCAUUCGCAAGAAGCUUGGGACACUCGAUAGGGAAAAACAAGGUGCAAAAGACCGUGUUCCCGCUCAAUGUUCUAUACCCGAAAAACCAAGCACAACAUCACGAGCCCCAAUUCAAGCACACAAAGUGACAUGAAAACUGAAAACAAUGUUAUACUAAGAAUCCAUCCAACAUUGCAUCCCGAAGAUGCAUCACUAGAUGUAUGUUGAUUUCAACAUUACUAAUGCCCAAUAUACAGGAAUACAACACAAGAAACCAAAAAGGGACAAGACAUGGUCAACCCAAAAACUGUACAAGAAAGCACCGCACAUUGUCGCUGCUCAAGCAGGGAUCCAACAUGCAAAUACAAAUCAAACACCACUCA
rnacentral:misc_RNA from 1 species